rnacentral:lncRNA from 1 species
AUAGGCAAGAUAGGUCUGGAAAUGGUCUCCUUACUCCUGUGUCACAGGAAGAUAGAGAUUUUUUAUUCUUCUGGAUAUUGUCUGUCUGGAUAAGAUCCAUGUUGCCGACACCAAGAAGGAGGCCAGCCUGCGAUCUCAGCUGAGGUAUUAAGAAUGGCAGAAUGAGAAUUAGGAAGGACUGGAUUCUGGAAGACUUGUAGAGCCCCUGCUCAUUAUAAGCCUGAUUUUAAUGUUCAUGGCAUCCUCCACAUCAGCAGCAACAAGGAGAAAGAAGAAUAGAAGAAGAAAGAACAAGACCAUGGGCCAAAAGCUGGAGUGGCAGCAGCCCAGGACAUGUGUCAGGCCAGGAGCUGAGGAGAGAGCAGUAGAGGCAGGGCAAAGGAGAUGGCCUGCAGGGAGGGUCACACAUGGGCCCUGAGCAGAGGAGGAGGCAUGGAGGGUGAUGAGAGCAGAGUUUCUCACUGUUGGAGAAGGGAUUUGCAAAUGUGGGAAAGUGAAAAAGAAAUAAUUUAUGUGGCAUUAGAGGCAAAGCAAGCCCCUAGGGAUGCAAAAGGGAAAGAGAACAAAGCUAGCAAUCAUCCAUUACAUCAUGCACAGCCAUAAAACAUCCUGAGUCAUAUUAGGACAGUCCCCAUUGACUCCUUGAUGAUGGAAACAUACAGUGAAACGAGUCAGGAUUCUGAGUUUACUGCUUGGAAGAGAGCCACCAAAGAGAGCCACUGACCAAGAACCUCCUCAUGAGACUCUGCAUGAGCAAAAAAUAAAACUUUGUGGUA